CCUCAAUCGCUCCAUAGACGAAUUAAGUCCGCUUAUGUAGUCAAGCAACAUUUCAUAUCUGGAUUUUGAGCGAAACUUCUAGAAAAAUUUUUCUAUAGAUAGAAAGAAUUCAGGCAAUUUUUUCAUCCAGAUUUAGUAUUUGACUGAUAUUUGGAAAUAAUCCUGAAAAAAUUUCGAAUCUUUGUCGGCUUAACUAAAGUCUGGAAUAUAAGGCUAAAUUUUUGAGUUUAGGCCAAGAUCAAAGUCACGAUUAAUUAACUUAUAUCUGCUUCAAUGGUACCCUCUAUCCAUCUGUUGAAACUUGCCGGUGAUAACAUACACAAUUUUCUUCUGGCUACCGGAUCUAAAUCUAAUGGGGCACCUUUUCAUCUGCACAAUAAUAGAUAAAUUUAUGUUUAUUGUAUAAUUUCAAUUCGAACUAUAGAUACUAUAUGAACAAAUGA